GAGGGUAUAGCUCAGUGGCAGAGCAUAUGCUUGGCAUGCACAAGGUCUGGGUUCAAUUCCCAGUGUCUCCC
rnacentral:tRNA from 1 species